rnacentral:rRNA from 1 species
AUUGAACGCUGGCGGCAGGCCUAACACAUGCAAGUCGAGCGGCAGCGGGAAAGUAGCUUGCUACUUUUGCCGGCGAGCGGCGGACGGGUGAGUAAUGCCUGGGAAAUUGCCCAGUCGAGGGGGAUAACAGUUGGAAACGACUGCUAAUACCGCAUACGCCCUACGGGGGAAAGCAGGGGACCUUCGGGCCUGGUGCGAUUGGAUAUGCCCAGGUGGGAUUAGCUAGUUGGUGAGGUAAUGGCUCACCAAGGCGACGAUCCCUAGCUGGUCUGAGAGGAUGAUCAGCCACACUGGAACUGGGACACGAUACAGACUCCUACGGGAGGCAGCAGUGGGGAAUAGUGCACAAUGGGGGAAACCCUGAUGCAGCCAUGCCGCGUGUUUGAAGAAGGCCUUCGGGUUGUAAAGCACUUUCAGCGAGGAGGAAAGGUCAGUAGCUAAUACCUGCUGGCUGUGACGUUACUCGCAGAAGAAGCACCGGCUAACUCCGUGCCAGCCGCCGCAGUAACAC